rnacentral:rRNA from 1 species
ACGGCUCAGUAACACGUAGUCAACAUGCCCAGGGGACGUGGAUAGCCUCGGGAAACUGAGGAUAAACCGCGAUAGGUCAUCACUUCUGGAAUGGGUAAUGACUUAAAUCUAUAUGGCCCCUGGAUUGGACUGCGGCCGAUCAGGCUGUUGGUGAGGUAAUGGCCCACCAAACCUGUAACCGGUACGGGCUCUGAGAGGAGGAGCCCGGAGAUGGGCACUGAGACAAGGGCCCAGGCCCUAUGGGGCGCAGCAGGCGCGAAACCUCUGCAAUAGGCGAAAGCUUGACAGGGUUACUCUGAGUGAUUUCCGUUAAGGAGAUCUUUUGGCACCUCUAAAAAUGGUGCAGAAUAAGGGGUGGGCAAGUCUGGUGUCAGCCGCCGCGGUAAUACCAGCACCCCGAGUGGUCGGGACGUUUAUUGGGCCUAAAGCAUCCGUAGCCGGUUCUACAAGUCUUCCGUUAAAUCCACCUGCUUAACAGAUGGGCUGCGGAAGAUACUAUAGAGCUAGGAGGCGGGAGAGGCAAGCGGUACUCGAUGGGUAGGGGUAAAAUCCGUUGAUCCAUUGAAGACCACCAGUGGCGAAGGCGGCUUGCCAGAACGCGCUCGACGGUGAGGGAUGAAAGCUGGGGGAGCAAACCGGAUUAGAUACCCGGGUAGUCCCAGCUGUAAACGAUGCAGACUCGGUGAUGAGUUGGCUUAUUGCUAACUCAGUGCCGCAGGGAAGCCGUUAAGUUUGCCGCCUGGGGAGUACGGUCGCAAGACUGAAACUUAAAGGAAUUGGCGGGGGAG